CUUCACUUAUUCACAGGUUCAAAAUAAAGAAACCUGGAGAGCAUUGCAAGGGGAAAGUCGAGAGAGAGCGAGCGAGAGAGAGAGCGAGAGAGAAGUUACACAAGGGGCAAAAAGGUAGUUGAAUGAAAAA